GAUACCAGUUCAUCAUUUGACAGGCUGCACAAUCUAUUUUCAGGCGUGUGUUCGUGUGUUGCUUUCCAUCUACCGUAAUAUCGAAUGAAUUCUUUUUAUGUAAGUGGAACGCAGUUACAGUUUUCAUUUGUGUUUGAUCCGCCUCUAAUUAACAGACAGGAAAUCUGUGCUAGAAAUCUCUAACAAAACGUGGUGUGAAGGAAAUAAUAAGAAUAUUCCUGUCUCUUUUGCCUGUUAUCUGAUUAAUCCCCAGUAAAAAAUCGAUGCGAUAUCUGUGGUGACCAGUGUCUCCACUGUAGCCCCAGCACCUACGCCUCGGUCCUACGCUUCGAUCGAUCACAGCAUCGGGAAAAAGGGAUUCAAUCUUCUUUCGACAUUCACGUCUCUCAAGCAUCCGCGAAAACAUGUCAACAGAGGAGCAAAAGGAGAGCCCCGAGGCUGCUGCCCCGGCGCCUAGGGAGGUCAAGUGCGUGGUGCUGACGGGAUUUGGGGGCCCCAAAAUGGUCCGGUGUCAGAAGAAGCCCGAGCCCUCGGCAAAGGAGGGGGAGGUUUUGAUCCGAGUUAAGGCCUGCGGCAUGAGUUUCCAGGAUUUGAUGGUUAGACAGGGAGUGCUGGAACAUGGACCCAAGACCCCUAUAGUAAUGGGAUUUGAGUGCGCAGGCGAAGUGGAAGCGCUGGGAGAAAACACUUCCGGUUUCAAUAUCGGUGACCGGGUGAUCGGUUUUUGCGACUACAAAGCCUGGUCGGAAGUGGUCGCCAUCCCGUCUCAGUUUGUGUACAAAAUGCCGGAGAACAUGAGCUUCCAGGACGGAGCCGCCCUCCCGAUGAGCUAUCUGACCGCCUACAUAUUGCUGUUUGACAUUGCCAAUCUGCGCCAGGGACAAUCUGUAUUCACUCAUUCCGUGGGAGGAGGCGUGGGCAUUGCAGUGACGCAGCUCUGUCACAUGAUGGAGGAUGUCAAACUGUUUGGGACCGCCUCCUACCAAAAACACGAGGCUGUCAAAGCCAAUGUGGAUCAUUUAUUUGAUCACGUGGUGGAUUACCCACAGGAAGUCAGAAAACUUUCGCCAGAGGGAGUUGACAUAUUUCUAGACUGCUUGUGUGGUGAAGAUGCUAAUAAAGGAAUCUCUCUGCUGAAACCCAUGGGGAAAUAUAUUUUGUAUGGUUCAUCAAGCAUUGUUACGGGAGAAACCAAAAGCUUUUUCAGCUUUGCUAAAUCGUGGUGGCAGGUGGACAAGAUUAGCCCCAUCAAGCUGUACGACGAGAACAAGACCAUCGCUGGGUUCCAGCUGCGCCAUCUUCUCCACAAGCAGGGCCAGCACCAGUACGUGAAGGAGAUCAUGAACAAGCUGAUCAAGCUAUACUCGGACGGCAAGAUCCGCCCCUGCAUCGACUCGGCCUGGGCUUUUGAGGACGUGGGAGAGGCAAUGCAAAAAAUGCAGGACAGGAAAAACAUAGGAAAAAUCAUUCUGGAUCCUACUUUGGAACCAAAGCCCAAACCUGUGUCCCCUGCCAGGACUCACACUACAAGCCAGUGUAGUGAGGACAAGGAGAACACUGAGGACCAGCAAUGAGUUCCAAGUACAUGUACAAUAGGUACGUGGACAGAGGGUACGUAUAUAUAGGAUAUCUUAAAGGUAGAUGGUGCAUAUUAGUGUGUUAUGAUGUAACAACUAAAUACCCAGUUUAUUGUGUGCUUAUGGACAACAUAAAUGGCUUACAAUUGUACCUCCUGUUGUUAUAUUAUGAUUUUAACAAAUGUUACUAUUAUGUAGAUGAUAAAGAGUCUUUAUUUUAUUGCCAAAUAAAAAUA